AAGUGUAUUUUACCCGUCUUUUAAUAUUAAUGUGGUUUUAUUACCAAACCAGUUUUCGAGAAGUUACAAAAAGUUACCUUCUGGUUGGGUUGAGUUUAAGCAUUAACUUAAACAUAAACAUAAACAAAAGGAGAUGAUUGUGGAGGAACUUGUUGUCCGUCUUCGGCUUGAAGAAGACAACAUAUAUUGUCCAAAAAGGCACCACUUUGAAAGUUGUUUGGCAUGGUAGAAUGAAAUGAAUAAAAACCGCUACUACAUCAAUUUAUAUACUUGAGUCUCAAAUGUUUAAAUAGAACAUUAUUUCCGAGAAAGUUGAAAGAAAUUCAAAUUGUACUAGGUGUUCAUAUGGUACUUUCCUCUGCUGCUUAAAAAUUUUUGCUUACAAAUUUCGAGAAUGUGCAGAACUUAAUUUAAAUCAAGAAAUAGGGGUUGAUGAAGAUUGAGAUGCUGUUAGUUGUAGACAAGCACGAAGCAUCAGAACAUAAGAUGUACAAGAGCAGAAGAACCGUUUACAAAUCAUUGGU
rnacentral:lncRNA from 1 species